rnacentral:ncRNA from 1 species
CUCCCGGCCGGAUCCCGUGGGGGGAAUCCGCACCGGGUAUAGGGGAAGCGCCCCGCCCGCCAAC